rnacentral:rRNA from 1 species
UUGAAACACCGGUUCUCGUACGAUCACUAAAGUUAAGCAACAUCGAGCCUGUUUAGUACCUAGUUUGGUGACUGCUUGGGAAUGCUAGGUUCGGCA